UACGUAGGGUCCGAGCGUUGUCCGGAAUUAUUGGGCGUAAAGAGCUCGUAGGCGGUUUGUCACGUCUGCUGUGAAAACUGGAGGCUCAACCUCCAGCCUGCAGUGGGUACGGGCAGACUAGAGUGCGGUAGGGGAGAAUGGAAUUCCUGGUGUAGCGGUGGAAUGCGCAGAUAUCAGGAGGAACACCGAUGGCGAAGGCAGUUCUCUGGGCCGUAACUGACGCUGAGGAGCGAAAGUGUGGGGAGCGAACAGG
rnacentral:rRNA from 1 species